rnacentral:rRNA from 1 species
UACGGAGGGUGCAAGCGUUAUUCGGAAUUACUGGGCGUAAAGGGCAUGUAGGCGGCUUGGAAAGCCUGGCGUGAAAGUCUGCAGCUUAACUGCAGGGGUGCGCUGGGAACUGCUGAGCUUGAGUGACGGAGAGGGAGCUGGAAUUCCUGGUGUAGGGGUGAAAUCUGUAGAUAUCAGGAAGAACACCGAUGGCGAAGGCAAGCUCCUGGCCGAUGACUGACGCUGAGGUGCGAAAGUGUGGGGAUCAAACAGG